rfam:Rhodoferax ferrireducens T118, complete genome.
CAAGUUCAAAAGCACACCCGAUCGAAAGACGGGGUCGCAAAGCUUCCGGCCUGACGCAUUCGUGCGAAGUGGUAGCGGGGUUGCCCAA